AAGCACCAGCAGGAAUCAGAGAAUGGUGGCUUCCAUCCUCUGCGCACAGCAGCAAGGAAGGCUUCCGGGCUGCUUUGUUUACCUAAUCAAGCCCGGGCAAUGGCGGGCGCCCCUCCCCCAGCCUCGCUGCCGCCUUGCAGUUGGAUCUCAGACUGCUGUGCUAGCAAUCAGCGAGACUCCGUGGGCAUAGGACCCUCCGAGCCAGGUAUAUUGUUGUUUAUAAUUGCACUCCUGUGUCCUUACAGGCCACUUCCUCUUUCUCUCUCUCUGUGAUCUCAGGUCCCACCGCAGCCUCCAGAAGCAUUGGGAUUAUAGGCAUGUUGUGUGCUUCCAGCUCAAGCCGGCUCUGUGUUUUAGGCCAACCAACACAAUUCAUAUAACAUCCUUGCACAUUUCCACCAUUUCCCGCCUCACCAUGCCUCAGAGGACUACAGGCUCCCCAAGACGGGACAUGGUUGGGCAGGUACCGGAUAGAUGCUGUCACUGCUGAAAAAGAAAAAAAUAUCCAAAGUAUUCACGUUGUACCUGCUGAGUGCCAGUACUGCAUGCUCUGGGGAUUCCAUUCCUGCCCCUAUGGAAGAGGGGUCAACUUUUCCAAAACAUCAUCUUCUAGAGGAAGAAGCUGAAGCCCAGCAAGGAAAAGUAACAUAACGAAGAUCUCAGCAGAAUGACGGUUAUCUGAGCAUCUAUAUUCUGGGGUUGCAAAAAGAACAAGAACGUAGGGUUCAAUGGACCUGAGUUCCAGGCCUCACUCUGUCACCAGCUGACUGUAAGAAGCCCACCCACCUCCACCUUCUCUAGAUCACAUGUUUUAUGGCCGCCUCAAAGGCGUGAAGCAGGUGAGUCGUGCUGCCUCUGCCAACAUCUGCUUUGUGAGCCUGGGAGUAUUUCACGGAGAUGUUUCUCUCGACAGGUUUAUGGCUGGUCUUGGCUCAGUGCCUUGAAAACACUGAUCAUGUGAUGAAACGAGAAUGUCAUGCUGCGGGCCAUCAAUAAACCACACUGGCAUUCCCGCUCCCACCCCGACACCACUCCACCCAUGCAAUUUCCCUCCCCUUCAGCCUCCUCCCUCCCCACCUCCCAAAGAUAUGCAAUGAAGAAAUUGCACACAAGAACAAGCUACGGUCUGUCCUCUAUGCUGAUGUUGGCAGCCUGCUUCUGCAGAACAUGCUUAACUGGCUAUCUGAGGACCAGAGGGGAAGACAGCCGACCCCACCACUUCUGAGACCCUAUCUUGCAGCCUUAUGAAAGGAGAAGUUAUGCUUAAUUCUUGGGGAAACAAAGGAAUGGCUACACCAGUAAGUUAGCCUUACCAUUGACUUGGGACUCUGAGAAGUGGAGAUGGGGACAACAGUAAUGGGGACAGAUGAACAAUGUCUCUUGCUUUAGGUUCAGCAGGGACUCUUGAGAAGUGGAGAUGGGGACAACAGUAAUGGGGACAGAUGAACAAUGUCUCUUGCUUUAGGUUCAGCAGUCAGAGACCCAGGCACCAAGCGAGAAGGAACUCAGCCUACUGAAAUAACUUCUUAGGUCAAUUCCUGGAUCCAGUAUUUCCUCAGUGCCAUCCAUUCUACAGUCCAGAUUAAUCCUCCCUAAAAACCUUUCCAACAUGCCACUGAAGUACUCUAAUUGGCUCCUCCUGAUAUCCUAUCAAAAUGGGCUUCUAAUUCGACCUAACUUAUUUUACAGAAGAAGCUGAGG
rnacentral:lncRNA from 1 species